UACGAAGGUCCCAAGCGUUAUCCGGAUUUAUUGGGUUUAAAGGGUGCGUAGGCGGGUUAUUAAGUCAGUGGUGAAAGCCUUCAGCUUAACCGAAGAAUUGCCAUUGAUACUGAUGAUCUUGAGUAUGAUUGAGGUGGGCGGAAUGUGUCAUGUAGCGGUGAAAUGCUUAGAUAUGACACAGAACACCGAUUGCGAAGGCAGCUCACUAAGUCAUAACUGACGCUGAUGCACGAAAGCGUGGGGAGCAAACAGG
rnacentral:rRNA from 1 species